rnacentral:rRNA from 1 species
UACGAAGGGGGGCUAGCGUUGCUCGGAAUUACUGGGCGUAAAGGGCUCGUAGGCGGCCAACUAAGUCAGACGUGAAAUCCCUCAGCUUAACUGGGGAACUGCGUCUGAUACUGGAUGGCUUGGAUUCGGGAGAGGAAUGCGGAAUUCCAGGUGUAGCGGUGAAAUGCGUAGAUAUCUGGAGGAACACCGGGUGGCGAAGGCGGCAUUCUGGACCGAUAUUGACGCUGAGGAGCGAAAGCCAGGGGAGCAAACGGG